rnacentral:rRNA from 1 species
GAUGAACGCUGGCGGCGUGCCUAAUACAUGCCAGUCGAGCGAACAGACGAGGAGCUUGCUCCUUCGACGUUAGCGGCGGACGGGUGAGUAACACGUAGGUAACCUACCUAUAAGACUGGGAUAACUUCGGGAAACCGGAGCUAAUACCGGAUAAUAUUUCGAACCGCAUGGUUCGAUAGUGAAAGAUGGCUUUGCUAUCACUUAUAGAUGGACCUGCGCCGUAUUAGCUAGUUGGUAAGGUAACGGCUUACCAAGGCAACGAUACGUAGCCGACCUGAGAGGGUGAUCGGCCACACUGGAACUGAGACACGGUCCAGACUCCUACGGGAGGCAGCAGUAGGGAAUCUUCCGCAAUGGGCGAAAGCCUGACGGAGCAACGCCGCGUGAGUGAUGAAGGUCUUCGGAUCGUAAAACUCUGUUAUUAGGGAAGAACAAACGUGUAAGUAACUGUGCACGUCUUGACGGUACCUAAUCAGAAAGCCACGGCUAACUACGU